ACAUUAGUUGUUCAGUGGUAGAAUUCUCACCUUCCAUACGGGAGACCUGGGUUCGAUUCCCAUCCGGUGUG
rnacentral:tRNA from 1 species